AAGCGCCUAUGACCAGACUUGGGCGCGGCGGAUCAUCCGGGGUUCUCUCCGGUGCACUUCGCCGCGUCUAGGCCAGCAUCAGUUCGUCGCGGGGGAAAAAGGCUUCGGGAACGUGGCUCCUCCGGGAGUGUUAUAGCCCACCGUGUAAUACCCUGGGGGGGACUGAGGUUCGCGCAUCUGCAAGGAUGCUGGCGUAAUGGUCAUCAACGA
rnacentral:rRNA from 1 species